UUUUUAUCACUUUGCUCUGGAAUAGACUAUAGUACCUUUUCUAAGGUAAUUUUAAUUACCUCGAUGCAUUUGGGAGGUAAUUUUUUGAUUUUCCGAGGGGUUUUCAAAACAAAGAGAAAACCCGAAAGAAAAUAACUAAGUAAAACGGCAAAUAUUUACAGCAUGCCGUAGCGUCAACGAUAUCAUUGUUUUUAUUAUGUUUACAAUGAUGUUUUUAACCAUCAGAAAUACAGAAUGAUUUUUUACCAUAGAUCAGCAAUUUACUGGGAGGAUUUUAAGUGAAUUUGAUUUCUGUGUUUUUUUAAUCAUUAUGGAAUCGGUUAAGCUUUAUUUUAAAACAAUUUGUCUUUUUUACCUACUCCAUAUACUUUAAAUAAGUAAAUACUUUUGUUUU